AUACGGAGCGUGCAAGCGUUAUUCGGAAUCACUGGGCGUAAAGGACGCGUAGGCGGGUUGGCAAGUCAGAUGUGAAAUCCUACAGCUUAACUGUAGAACUGCAUUUGAAACUGCUAACCUAGAGUAUGGGAGGGGGAGAUGGAAUUAGUGGUGUAGGGGUAGAAUCCGUAGAUAUCACUAGGAAUACCGAAAGCGAAGGCGAUCUGCUGGGACAUUACUGACGCUGAGGCGUGAAAGCGUGGGGAGCAAACAGGAUUAGAAACCCUAGUAGUCC
rnacentral:rRNA from 1 species